rnacentral:rRNA from 1 species
GAUGAACGCUGGCGGCGUGCCUAAUACAUGCAAGUCGAGCGAACAGAUGAGGAGCUUGCUCCUCUGACGUUAGCGGCGGACGGGUGAGUAACACGUGGAUAACCUACCUAUAAGACUGGGAUAACUUCGGGAAACCGGAGCUAAUACCGGAUAAUAUAUUGAACCGCAUGGUUCAAUAGUGAAAGACGGUUUUGCUGUCUCUUAUAGAUGGAUCCGCGCCGCAUUAGCUAGUUGGUAAGGUAACGGCUUACCAAGGCGACGAUGCGUAGCCGACCUGAGAGGGUGAUCGGCCACACUGGAACUGAGACACGGUCCAGACUCCUACGGGAGGCAGCAGUAGGGAAUCUUCCGCAAUGGGCGAAAGCCUGACGGAGCAACGCCGCGUGAGUGAUGAAGGUCUUCGGAUCGUAAAACUCUGUUAUUAGGGAAGAACAAAUGUGUAAGUAACUAUGCACGUCUUGACGGUACCUAAUCAGAAAGCCACGGCUAACUACGUG